UUGGCAACCCGACCCGUGAAAAAGCGACUCGAGAGGAAGAUUUGGAUACUGGGAUCGCGCGGAAGAAAAAAUCAGAAGCGACAAGUCCACCUUCUACUUAGCUUCACCGGAGUUCUGAUCUAGGGUUUUCUCGAAAGGCUUUGUCGAUCAGAUCUCCAACUAAUCAAAUGACUCCAGCUCCAGGUCCUUUCUCCGGCUCCAGCACUCUCGCUCUGUUUUGGCUUGGUUUAUGGAAGUGUGAAGCUCAAGAUUCUCAAGAUGAAAGUGAAUUCGAUUAACAAUGCGGAAGCUAAGGCACAUCACUGAG